AUUGAACGCUGGCGGCAGGCCUAACACAUGCAAGUCGAACGAGUGGCGGACGGGUGAGUAAUGUCUGGGAAACUGCCCGAUGGAGGGGGAUAACUACUGGAAACGGUCGCUAAUACCGCAUACCAUCGGAUGUGCCCAGAUGGGAUUAGCUCGUAGGUGGGGUAACGGCUCACCUAGGCGAUGAUCCCUAGCUGGUCUGAGAGGAUGACAAGCCACACUGGAACGGAGACACGGUCCAGAAUCCGACGGGAGGCAGCAGUGGGGAAUAUUGCACAAUGGGCGCAAGCCGGAUGCAGCCAUGCCGCGUGUAUGAAGAAGGCCUUAGGGUUGUAAAGUACUUUCAGCGAGGAGGCGUUACUCGCAGAAGAAGCACCGGCUAACUCCGUGCCAGAAGCCGCGGUAAUUC
rnacentral:rRNA from 1 species